AGAGUUUGAUCAUGGCUCAGGAUGAACGCUGGCGGCGUGCCUAACACAUGCAAGUCGAACGGACUGCUUUUCUUCGGAUGAGCAGUUAGUGGCGUCCGGGUGAGUAACACGUAGGUGACCUACCCCGAAGUGGGGAAUAACCUCUCGAAAGGGAAGCUAAUUCCGCAUGUGGUCCGUCAUUCGGUUGACGGACAAAAGCCGAAAGGCGCUUUGGGAGGGGCCUGCGGCCGAUUAGCUAGUUGGUGGGGUAAUGGCUCACCAAGGCUGAGAUCGGUAGCUGGUCUGAGAGGACGAUCAGCCACACUGGCACUGAAACACGGGCCAGACUCCUACGGGAGGCAGCAGUGAGGAAUAUUGCGCAAUGGGCGAAAGCCUGACGCGGCAACGCCGCGUGGGUGAUGAAGGCCUUCGGGUCGUAAAACCCUUUUCUGGGGGAAGAGGAAGGACGGUACCUCAGGAAUAAGUCUCGGCUAACUACGUGCCAGCAGCCGCGGUAACACGUAGGAGGCAAGCGUUAUCCGGAUUUACUGGGCGUAAAGCGCGCGUAGGCGGUGUCGUAAGUUGGACGUGAAAUCUCCCGGCUCAACCGGGUGAGGCCGUUCAAUACUGCGGUACUCGAGGGCAGAAGAGGGGAGUGGAAUUCCCGGUGUAGUGGUAAAAUGCAUAGAUAUCGGGAGGAACACCUGUGGCGAAGGCGGCUCCCUGGUCUGUUCCUGACGCUGAGGUGCGAAAGCGUGGGGAGCGAACGGGAUUAGAUACCCCGGUAGUCCACGCCGUAAACGAUGGGCACUAGGUGUGGGGAGUAUUGACUCUCUCUGUGCCGUAGCUAACGCGUUAAGUGCCCCGCCUGGGGACUACGGUCGCAAGACUAAAACUCAAAGGAAUUGACGGGGCCCCGCACAAGCAGCGGAGCGUGUGGUUUAAUUCGAUGCUACGCGAAGAACCUUACCUGGGAUUGACAUGCACGUAGUAGUGAACCGAAAGGGGAACGAGCCUUCGGGCAGCGUGCACAGGUGCUGCAUGGCUGUCGUCAGCUCGUGCCGUGAGGUGUUGGGUUAAGUCCCGCAACGAGCGCAACCCUCGUCGCUAGUUACAUGUGUCUAGCGAGACUGCCAGGUUAACCCUGGAGGAAGGUGGGGAUGAUGUCAAGUCAGCAUGGCCUUUAUGCCCAGGGCUACACACACGCUACAAUGGCCGGUACAAUAGGCAGCGAAGCCGCGAGGCGGAGCAAAUCCUCAAAGCCGGUCUCAGUUCGGAUUGGAGGCUGCAACUCGCCUCCAUGAAGUUGGAGUUGCUAGUAACCGCGCGUCAGCAACAGUGCGGUGAAUACGUUCCCGGGGCUUGUACACACCGCCCGUCACGUCAUGGGAGCCGGCAACACCUGAAGCCGGUGGGCUAACCGCAAGGAGGCAGCCGUCGAAGGUGGGGCUGGUGACUGGGACGAAGUCGUAACAAGGUAACC
rnacentral:rRNA from 1 species